GCUGGGCGUGGUGGCACACGCCUGUAAUCCCAGCAGCUUGGGAGGCUGAGUCAGGAGGAUUGAAAGUUCAAAGCCAGCCUCAA
rnacentral:sRNA from 1 species